rnacentral:antisense_RNA from 1 species
GUUACUUGCCGUAACACAGUGUGAUAAGGGCCUUUGAAGUUACCGCUUCAAGGGCUUUUU